rnacentral:rRNA from 1 species
UACCCGCAGCACAAGUGGUGGUCAUUAUUAUUGGGCCUAAAGCGUCCGUAGCUGGCUUGUUAGAUGCCUGGGUAAAUCGAUGCGCUUAACGCAUCGAAUUCCGGGUAGACCGGCAAGCUCGAGACCGGGAGAGGUGUAGGCUACUCGAGGGGUAGGGGUAAAAUCCUGUAAUCCUUCGGGGAGGACCAGUGGCGAAGGCGCUACACUAGAACGGCUCUGACAGUGAGGGACGAAGCCCUGGGGCGCAAACCAGG